UUUAAGCAACUCUCUUGCCUCAGUCUCCUCAGUAGCUGGGGUUAUAGGCAUGGGCCGCCAUACCCCACUAAUGUUAAUAUUUUUUGUAUUUUUAAUAGAGAUGGAGGCUCAUCAUGUUGCCCAGGCUGCUCUCUAAGUCCUGAGCUGAGGCAAUCUGCCCACCUUGGCCUCCCCAAGUGCUAGGAUUACAACUCCUGACCUCAAGCAGUCAUCCCACCUUGGCCUCCCAAAGUGCUGGGAUUACAGACAUGAACCACUGGUACCACCUCCAUUUCUCAGUCCCUAGUCACCCAAGCUGGAGGGUUCUGUCUCACCUUCUAGAGUAUGCGGAGUUCCCUGCAUUCCAGCUGUUUGACCUGGGAUAACUGCUUUGGUUUUUUUAACAUGUAAAGAUGGGAGCACUCGGCUGGGCGCAUAUAUGUGUGUGAGGAAAAAAGUCAAACUGUGUUUUUCCUCUGCUCUCACAACACAACAGUCAACAAAGACUUCUGUGACCAAGCAAGCAGUCAGUUCUGCAGUAGACACCAGCUGGGUGUCCUUCAGUUCUGACACUAUCUACCUGGAGAUAGCCUGAAAAACCAUAGUUUGAGGGCUCGGUCCCACAAGACUGCCCCUGCACCCCCCACUAUUAUUCAUAAGCACAGGCCUCCAGAACAUCUGAAUGGCUUCAAGCCAGGGUUCUCACGUCUCCCUCCUUGGGUUCAGUUAAUUUGCUGGAGUAGCUCACACAACUCGGGAAUCACAUACUUAAAUUUACUGGUUUAUAACAGGAUAUUUUAUAGGCUACAAAUAAACAGCCACAUGAAGAGAUGCAUAGGGUGAGAUCUGGAAGGGUCGCAAGCACAAGAGCUUCUAGCCCCAUGGUGUUUCCUCCCGGCACAUGGAUGAGUUCUUGUUCACCUUCCUGUCAGGCUCCGCAUGAUCAGCUGUCCCGAAGCUCCCCUAACCCUGCCCUCUUGGGCCUUUUAUGGAGACUUUAUUGGAUAGUCAUGAUUAAAGGAUGGACAACCAUGUGGAAAUGCCAUUAGACAAAAUGGGUGUGAUCUAACACUAAUAG
rnacentral:lncRNA from 1 species